UGGACAUCGGUUGGGUUGGAUCGGUUUUCGGGCCCAAAUUCCCAAUCCGACCUAACCAUCGGUUGGAAAAAACAUAACCAAAACCGACCGGUUUGCAAUUCGGUUAUUUUCGGUUUCGGUUUUGUUCGGUUCGGUUUCAUAAUGCGGUUUAUUCGGUUUUAAAAAUAAUUGAGCUCAUUCCAAAAUAAACCCAACACAAGUGGAUUUUAUCUAGGAUUUAAAUAGCACAAUUUUAUACUAGUCUUUAAACUUUUAGUUUACUUAUGAACAAAAAAAUAAAACAAUAUAUCUUAAAACUUAUGAAAUUGCUGCAUUUUUCGGAAAUGGAUUGAACAAUCAUUGUUAACAUUUGUAUUCUAAAUUUCUACUCAUAUUAUAUCUAUCUUGCUGACAUGGAUACAGGGCCGUUCAAUGUAACAAAUGUCUUUGAGUUCCAUAAUGGACGGUGGUAUAUGGUUCAUCAUCACAGUUCUGUGAUGAAUGGGGAUGUAGAGCAACAAAUUAUGCAUGGAUAGUAAUAGUAAGAGAGAUGAUAUGUUAUUAUGUCUGAUACUGGUCUCAGAAAAGGAAAUUGCAAUGGGGCCAAAAAAGUGUGAAAAAUAGAUUAAGUGGAUUAAAGUAAAUACAAAAGAUCGAUGGAAAAGAUUACAUGUGAAUCAACGUCCAAUACAUCGGUGAGACUUGUGAAAAACCAAGGCUGUGCAGUUGCAGGAGUUACUAAUUCAAAAGUAUAGUCCAAUUUUGGCGUGCAUUUUAGUUCUCUAGCAGUGUGUGCAUUUUUCAAUAUUGUAAGAGACAAGUCCAUUCCGGCAAUGCAAUAUCCAAUCAACCUUCAA